rnacentral:rRNA from 1 species
CUCUAUUUUCUUCUCAAUAGUAAAAUCUGCUCAAUGUAAAUAAAUAGCCGCAAUUUAUUGUGCUAAGGUAGCAUAAUCACUCGCUUUUUAAUUAAAAGCUAGAACAAAAGAUUUAACACUUCAACUAUUUUAAAUUAAAUUUAAUUUAAAAUUUUCCUAAAUGUAAUAAGACAUUUAUUUAAAAGAAAGACGACAAGACCCUUUUGAACUUUACUAUAGUUAAACUGGGGCAGUUAAAUAAUUAUAAUUUUAAUUAACUUAAAUCAAAGACCUAAAUUAAUUAACUUUAUAAAUAAGUUACCAAAGGGAUAACAGCGUAAUAUUUAUUUAAAGAUCUUAUAUAAAUAAAAGAUUACGACCUCGAUGUUGAAUAAUAUCCUUUAUCCUAUGUAAUCAUAAUAAAAGGAAGUCUGUUCGACUUUUAAAAAAUUACA